CAUAUUUUCCCUCCCAUCAGCAAAUAUUAUUUUCUUUUUCUUAUCUGAUAUUAAAAAUAUUGCAAUAAGGAAAUAUUUAAAAAGCAUUAUCUAAAACAUAUGUUAAAUCAUAUAUUACUUAAAAUUUACAUCUGUUUCAUCGGGCUACCAAAUUUCUUCCAUAGUGUAUUUCAUAAAGGAGAAGAUGCUGAUAAGAUCUCGUUUAAAUGGCUUGCUAAUACAAGAAGCAGAUCAUUUUAAAUGGACCUUACAUCUUUAUAGGAUGUUAGAAAUGAAGACAUUACCUCAAAAUGUAGCAGAAAACCUUGGCUGACAUACUCAAGGCUAAAAUGCAGUCAGCGGAAAUGGAAACACUUCAACUCUGCCCCUGUGGCAAGAAUGGCUUCCCUUCAGACAAUCUGGUCAGAUUCUUUAUGGACCCAAUGGGAGUGGUAACUGGCACAAGGAACACUUUCCAUCUGCAAGAAAGAAUAUAAAGAACUUGGAACAAGAAAAAAGAGGGAGUAGAAAAAUUCCCACCCUUUCCUCACAGCUGCCUAAGUGAAUAACCACUCAAUCAAAAAUGGAAUCUGGAAAAUGGAAUCUGGAGUAAAGAAGUUGUGAAACAAAGCAAACAGAAAGGCUCUGCACCAAUCCCAAGGCCCAAAGGUGAGGGAUUUUCUUCUUUCUCUUCUUCUGCAAUGUUCCUUCAUGAAUAAUAUUUAGUUCAGUAUUUUUCAUCCUGAUAGAGAACUAGUGUUCACAGGUAAUUUUACUGGAAUUAUGGCAGAUUAGGGUGCAAAAUAUACACAUAUUAUA
rnacentral:lncRNA from 1 species